UAUGUGCUGUGCACAGGAGCAAGGUGUGCAGCUAGGCAUUGCAUGCACCUAUGUACUGACGCUAUGCAACAGAGCAAGGCGUGCAACAGAGCAACGGUUUGCAUCCUCAUGCAGGUGGAGAGGGAGAAGCUGAAGACGCACGAAGCCUCGCUGCGCCUGGCUCUGCAGAAGGGCCACCUGGACCGCUCGCUGGGCACGUCGGAGCAGCAGCUGGCAGAAGCACAACGACGCAUUCAAGUGCUGCAGGCGGGUGGCACCGCGGUGCUGCCUGCACCUUAGGCACAAGUCUCAGCGCUGGAGCGGAGCUCUGGGGCUGCACAGAAGCCACCAGCACAGCAGCGGGGGGCACAGGAGUUGCGCCGUCACCCCCGCAGCAUUUAGGGCCAAGAGCAGCAACAUGAAAAUCCACUCAACAUUCCCCAAUCCCACUCUUUGAUCGAGGAGAAGAGCAGCAAUUUACCCCCAAGACACCGCUGUCUAUUUUUGAUACAGCUUGAUUUUUUUCCCCCCUUCCUUUUUUCUACGGCAUUUUUAUAACCAACGUUUGGAAACAGGACAUUUUUUAAGCCCAUAUGGGAGCACUGGAGCUCCCCAACCUGGCACUGACCAGGGUAUGCAUCCCAUGCCUGGAUCCCACGCGGCACAGGGAGGAUCCUGUCUUUUCUACUGCUCUUUUUGGAGACUGGUUUGAUAUCGGUGCUAUGGGCCAACCCAACGUGGCCCCAACCCUUGUCCAUCCCCUCUCCCCCUCCAUUAAACGUAUGGAAAGCCAA